AGUGAACGCUGGCGGUAGGCCUAACACAUGCAAGUCGAACGGCAGCACAGUAAGAGCUUGCUCUUACGGGUGGCGAGUGGCGGACGGGUGAGGAAUACAUCGGAAUCUACUUUUUCGUGGGGGAUAACGUAGGGAAACUUACGCUAAUACCGCAUACGACCUACGGGUGAAAGCAGGGGAUCUUCGGACCUUGCGCGAUUGAAUGAGCCGAUGUCGGAUUAGCUAGUUGGCGGGGUAAAGGCCCACCAAGGCGACGAUCCGUAGCUGGUCUGAGAGGAUGAUCAGCAACACUGGACCUGAGACACGGUCCAGACUCCUACGGGAGGCAGCAGUGGGGAAUAUUGGACAAUGGGCGCAAGCCUGAUCCAGCCAUACCGCGUGGGUGAAGAAGGCCUUCGGGUUGUAAAGCCCUUUUGUUGGGAAAGAAAAGCAGCAGGUUAAUACCCCGCUGUUCUGACGGUACCCAAAGAAUAAGCACCGGCUAACUUCGU
rnacentral:rRNA from 1 species